rnacentral:lncRNA from 1 species
UUCCUUCUCUCUCUUAGGGUUUGUUAAAUCUUGUUAUUCUUGUGAUCUUGUGUUAAGAUCAUUGUUCGUAGAAUAGAUCAGAGAUUGCAGAUCAUCGUGUUGAUGAUCUGCGUGUGAGUUGAGAGGUCUUUUCAGUUUAGUUUCUUGUUCUUUUGUUCAAAGCUGUUGUACAGUGAAACCAUAGAAACACAUGUAUGUGUGAAUGUUGAAGAAAGCAAAAAGCAAAUUAGAUGGAAUUGCGCACUUGAUAACGGAGUGGGCUAGUGGCGUGGAUAAUAGAUGACUGUAGUUGGCCUUGUAAGGAGAUUGAGCUAGCGCAAGUUCCCGCCAAACAUGAUGAGUUAAGUCACAACAGGGUCAGUUACCCAGUCUUACAUUUGUGCUACUUUACAUUAUUCUAUUGGAAUUAUAUCUUUUUUAUUAUCAUUUAUAUAUUGAUUAACAGUUAAUAACAGCCACUCCUUUGUGUACUAACCCACACCCCAUGUUCAAUAUAAUAAAAAUAGGUGCAACUUUUUUAUAAAAAUUACCAUAUAUAUGUAUAUAUAUUUGUUU